rnacentral:rRNA from 1 species
GCCCAGACUCCUACGGGAGGCAGCAGUUGGGGGAAUAUUGCACAAUGGGCCGAAAGCCUGAUGCAGCGACGCCGCGUGAGGGAUGACGGCCUUCGGGUUGUAAACCUCUUUCAGCAGGGACGAAGCGAAAGUGACGGUACCUGCAGAAGAAGCACCGGCCAACUACG